UACGUAGGGGGCAAGCGUUAUCCGGAACUACUGGGUGUAAAGGGUGAGUAGGCGGCAUGGUAAGCCAGAUGUGAAAGCCUUGGGCUUAACCCGAGGAUUGCAUUUGGAACUAUCAAGCUAGAGUACAGGAGAGGAAAGCGGAAUUCCUAGUGUAGCGGUGAAAUGCGUAGAUAUUAGGAAGAACACCAGUGGCGAAGGCGGCUUUCUGGACUGAAACUGACGCUGAGGCACGAAAGCGUGGGGAGCGAACAGG
rnacentral:rRNA from 1 species